CGCAGCCGCGGUAAUUCCAGCUCCAAUAGCGUAUAUUAAAGUUGUUGCAGUUAAAAAGCUCGUAGUUGAAUUUCGGGAUCAAUAUAUUGGUCAUGCUUAGGUAUGUACUGGUAUUAUUGAUUUCUCCCUUCUGAAGAACCAUGAUGUCAUUAAUUUGAUGUCGUGGGGAAUCAGGACUGUUACUUUGAAAAAUUAGAGUGUUUAAAGCAGGCUUUCGCUUGAAUACAUUAGCAUGGAAUAAUGAAAUAGGACGUUUGAUUCUAUUUUGUUGGUUUCUAGGAUCGACGUAAUGAUUAAUAGGGAUAGUUGGGGGCAUUAGUAUUCAAUUGUCAGAGGUGAAAUUCUUGGAUUUAUUGAAGACUAACUACUGCGAAAGCAUUUGCCAAGGAUGUUUUCAUUAAUCAAGAACGAAAGUUAGGGGAUCGAAGACGAUCAGAUACCGUCGUAGUCUUAACCAUAAACUAUGCCGACUAGGGAUCGGAUGGAUGUUAAUUUUUUAAUGACUCAUUCGGUCG
rnacentral:rRNA from 1 species